CAGAGGGCGCUCUGUUGAACAGGAACAUGCCUUGACUUGUACCGGCUUGUCUGAAGGGAGCUCUGGCUUGUGGUCAACAGCAGCUGCUGUGUGCAUUUCACUCAGCGCUGACCCGGCAAGAGGACAACAACAGCUCAAACCUUCUGCUUUCUGGGAAUACUGGACAAACACAGGUAUCUCUGUAUAUCUGCGCUGACCAAACUGACGGCCUUACAGCCCUCAGACGAGCUUGUUUACCGGAGGACUUCCCUUCACUGGAAAGCCCCUCAACUUCACCCACAGUUCAGAUCGUCAUUAGAACACACAAAGAAGGCUCAGCCUGCUCUGACGACAGAAACCACGGGCAUAGUAGGCCCUUUUUGCUACUAACUAUUCUUAUCCAGCGGUGUCAUCAGCGCUCAGAUUCAAGAAAGCUUUGUCACAUUUAGGGACCCAUACACUGUUAGAAAUAAACGUACUAUGCAGGUACAUGAAUCAUU
ensembl:lncRNA